UUGUAUUAAACAUUUAAUAAAAUAAUAAAAUAAAGUAUAAGCCAUGUGGCGUAUAAGCUUUAAUAAGAUGAUUUUCAUUGUAUGAAACAAAACAUUAGAAAAACAUUUCAUAACUCAAAUGAAGCUUCAUUAAAUCAUAGUUUAUCAACAUAGGUUUCGAGUAAAAAUCCUUCUUAAAAUACAAUCAGACAUCAACCCCAUAUGUCAUGCAUAGUACAAAAAAAAAAAAAAGAAGUCUCACAACAGCAGACGUCCUCUGGCGUAGUCUAACAGAAUUUUCCUUUUCUUCAACAACAAGCCUAAAAAGGAAAGGUAACUAAAUAAGUUCAAAAGAACUUAGUGAGUUCCAUAAGAAGUCU
rnacentral:lncRNA from 1 species